rnacentral:tRNA from 2 species
GGCCUCGUAGUUCAGUUGGUUAGAACGCCUGCCUGUCACGCAGGAGGUCGCCCGUUCGAGUCGGGUCGAGGUCGCCA